rnacentral:rRNA from 1 species
UACGUAGGGGGCAAGCGUUGUCCGGAAUCAUUGGGCGUAAAGAGCGCGUAGGCGGCCCUGUAAGUCCGCUGUGAAAGUCAAGGGCUCAACCCUUGGAUGCCGGUGGAUACUGCAGGGCUAGAGUCCGGAAGAGGCGAGUGGAAUUCCUGGUGUAGCGGUGAAAUGCGCAGAUAUCAGGAGGAACACCUGUGGCGAAAGCGGCGCACUGGACCACAACUGACGCUGAGGCGCGAAAGCUAGGGGAGCAAACAGG